rnacentral:rRNA from 1 species
UACGUAGGGGGCAAGCGUUGUCCGGAAUCAUUGGGCGUAAAGAGCGUGUAGGCGGUCCGGUAAGUCGGCUGUGAAAGUCCAGGGCUCAACCCUGGGAUGCCGGUGGAUACUGUCGGGCUAGAGUGCGGAAGAGGCGAGUGGAAUUCCUGGUGUAGCGGUGAAAUGCGCAGAUAUCAGGAGGAACACCUAUUGCGAAGGCAGCUCGCUGGGACGUAACUGACGCUGAGACGCGAAAGCGUGGGGAGCAAACAGG